rnacentral:rRNA from 1 species
UACGUAGGGGGCAAGCGUUGCUCGGAAUUAUUGGGCGUAAAGGGUAGGUAGGUGGUCUUGUUUGUCUAGGGUGAAAUCCCAGGGCUUAACCCUGGAAGUGCCCUAGAAACGGCAAGACUAGAGUUCUAGAGGGGGUCGUGGAAUUCCCGGUGUAGCGGUGAAAUGCGUAGAGAUCGGGAGGAACACCAGCGGCGAAGGCGGCGACCUGGAUAGAUACUGACACUCAACUACGAAAGCGUGGGGAUCAAACAGG